rnacentral:rRNA from 1 species
GACGAACGCUGGCGGCGUGCCUAAUACAUGCAAGUCGAACGCAGUGGGGACGGGUGAGUAACACGUGGGUAACCUCCCAUCAGAGGGGAUAACACUUGGAAACAGGUGCUAAACCGAUACUGAUGGAUGGACCCGCGGUGCAUUAGCUAGUUGGUGGGGUAACGGCUCACCAAGGCCACGAUGCAUCGCCGGCCUGGGAGGGUGAUCGGCCACACUGGGACGUGGACACGGCCCAGGCGCCUACGGGGGGCAGGAGUAGGGAAUCUUCGGCAAUGGACGAAAGUCUGACCGAGCAACGCCGCGUGAGUGGAGAAGGUUUUCGGAUCGUAAAACUCUGUUGUUAGGGAAGAGGUAUCUAACCAGAAAGCCACGGCUAACUACGUGCCAGCAGCCGCGGUAAUUC